ACUAUGUCUCUCGGCUGGCCUGGGAACGCCUUGGUAUUCCCCCGGAAGAGCUGGAGGAAGUGUCUGGGGAGAGGGAAGUCUGGGCGUCCCUGCUUGGACUGCUGCCCCCGCGAUAAGCGGUCCAUUCUCAUUUUCCCAUUGGUCCGCUGAACUGUCAAUCUCCCGGCUUUAAAAGUGAUGUCAUGGGUCUCUGCGCCAAUCACCAUCAUCCCAUACUUUUACGAAAGGACGCCAGAGAGCUGCGAGUUAGUCUUAUCGGCUCAUUCAUCCUUAUUGUUACCCUUUGUUUAAAAACCUGAUUUUUGUGAGUUUAUCAUUGUGUACUGUUUGUCGUAUCCGUUCUUUUUGUUCUGUCAUCAUUUGUAAAUGUUGUUGGUGACUCGUUUCCCUGUUAAAGGGGGAAAAGCGGACAGGUAAGAGGUCGCGCGACAUACAUUGUACAGACGUAGGAUAACUUAUUACUGUAUUAGAUACACUAGUUUAGGAGUGAGUGCCACCCCUUUUACUUUUUGUGUUUUGGCUAGUUAGAGUAGUUUAGGUAGGGCGUUUUUACGCUGAAGACCUUUUGUUCCACAUUUUUAUUUAUUAGUCAGGUAAGAGGGUCAAACAAAAUUAGUUAGUUUUGUUUUAUUUCCUUUAGCACCACAAUCGUCCCUUUUCCCCCCGUACCUCUCCUUUCGUUAAUUGUCCUGUAAAUACUGUAAAUAGUCUCUCCUUUGUUGUCCUUCAAUACUUUGAUUAAUAAACUUUCAUAUGGUUU